GGGUAUUUCCCAUUAUUUUGUCACUAAUCCGCCUUUACUCCUGGCUUACUCAGCCCUUACUCUGCGAUUACUCUGCCCUUACUCGGGGUCACUCAUGCUGAGUGUCCCUACUCAGACCUUACUCCAGGUUUGCUCAACCCUUACUCUGACUUUACUCAACCCUUACUCUGGUCUUACUCAGCCCUUACUCGGGGUCACCCCAUGCAUGCGUGCCCUUACUCAGCCCUUACUACAGGUUUGCUCAUGGGGUUGUGGCAGGGGCCUUACUCACCCCACACUUUUGAUUAUUCGGUACUUUGUCCCUACUCAAUCCUUACUCUGAGUUUACUCAGCCCUUACUUUGGGUGUUACCCGUUAUUAUUUCACUGCUCAGCCUUUACUCCAAGUCUGCUCAGCCCUUACUAAGAUAGUAUUUGAUGCUUUGUCCGUACUCAAUCCUUACUCUGAGCUUACUCAGCCC
rnacentral:lncRNA from 1 species